UUAAUGGUGUAUCAUGAAAUCCAUACAUGGUCAAUAGAACUAAGUCACAAGAUUGCAACAUUUUGUGCUGGUUUAUAGUGAAUGCUUAAAAGACAACCUCCAGUGGUUCAUCAAUUGUUAUUUUAGUAGUAGUAGCAGCAGUAUUAGUUAAAUAAAUGGUUGUUGAUGUGGUGCAUAGAGACCUAUAUUCUAUGAAAUGAAAGAUGAGUCUCUUUAGAUCCAGAUAUCUGAGCGAGAAUGUUUUCUGUCAACGUAAGAAAGUUGAUAGAUGAAAUCUGACAAAGGAAUACCAGGACUUGUAAACUGUAGAAGAAAA
rnacentral:misc_RNA from 1 species